rnacentral:tRNA from 1 species
GCCUAGGUGGCUCAGUCGGUUAAGCGUCUGACUUCAGCUCAGGUCACGAUCUCACGGUUCGUGGGUUCAACCCCCACAUUGAGCU